UACGUAGGGGGCUAGCGUUGUCCGGAAUCAUUGGGCGUAAAGAGCUCGUAGGCGGCUCGGUAAGUCGGGUGUGAAACCUCCAGGCUCAACCUGGAGACGCCACCUGAUACUGCUGUGGCUAGAGUCCGGUAGGGGAGUGUGGAACUCCUGGUGUAGCGGUGAAAUGCGCAGAUAUCAGGAAGAACACCAGCGGCGAAGGCGGCACUCUGGGCCGGAACUGACGCUGAGGAGCGAAAGCGUGGGGAGCGAACAGG
rnacentral:rRNA from 1 species